AGAGUUUGAUCCUGGCUCAGAACGAACGCUGGCGGCGUGCUUAACACAUGCAAGUCGAACGCGAAAGGGACUUCGGUCCUGAGUAAAGUGGCGCACGGGUGAGUAACGCGUGGAUAAUCUACCCCACUGAUCUGGGAUAACAUCUCGAAAGGGGUGCUAAUACCGGAUAAGACCACGAAGUCUUAGGACUUUGCGGUAAAAGGUGGGGACCUUCGGGCCUACCGUCAUCGGAUGAGUCCGCGUACCAUUAGCUAGUUGGUGGGGUAAUGGCCUACCAAGGCUACGAUGGUUAGCUGGUCUGAGAGGAUGGUCAGCCACACUGGAACUGAGACACGGUCCAGACUCCUACGGGAGGCAGCAGUGGGGAAUUUUGCGCAAUGGGGGAAACCCUGACGCAGCAACGCCGCGUGAGUGAUGAAGGCUUUCGGGUCGUAAAGCUCUGUCAGAGGGGAAGAAAUGCAUGGAUGCUAAUAUCAUCUUUGC
rnacentral:rRNA from 1 species